AGGACGAACGCUGGCGGCGUGCUUAACACAUGCAAGUCGAACGGAGUGCUCAUGACAGAGGUUUCGGCCAAUAGAUUGAGUUACUUAGUGGCGGACUGGUGAGUAACGCGUGAGUAACCUGCCUUCAAGAGGGGGAUAACAUUCUGAAAAGAAUGCUAAUACCGCAUGACAUAUGAUUGUCGCAUGGCAGACAUAUCAAAGAUUUAUCGCUUGAAGAUGGACUCGCGUCCCGAUUAGUUAGUUGGUGAGGUAACGGCCCACCAAGUCGACGAUCAGUAGCCGGACUGAGAGGUUGACCGGCCACAUUGGGACUGAGAUACGGCCCAGACUCCUACGGGAGACAGCAGUGGGGAAUAUUGGGCAAUGGGGGAAACCCUGACCCAGCAACGCCGCGUGAAGGAAGAAGGCUUUCGGGUUGUAAACUUCUUUUACCAGGGACGAAGGACGUGACGGUACCUGGAGAAAAAGCCACGGCUAACUACGUG
rnacentral:rRNA from 1 species